CCUACGGGGGGCUGCAGUAGGGAAUAUUGGGCAAUGGGCGAGAGCCUGACCCAGCCAUGCCGCGUGGAGGAAGACGGCCCUCUGGGUUGUAAACUCCUUUUAUCGGGGAAGAACGGCAGUCCUGCGGGAUUGUGUGACGGUACUCGAGGAAUAAGCACCGGCUAACUCCGUGCCAGCAGCCGCGGUAAUACGGAGGGUGCGAGCGUUGUCCGGAUUUAUUGGGUUUAAAGGGUGCGUAGGUGGUUUUUUAAGUCUGGUUUGAAAGUUGGUCGCUU
rnacentral:rRNA from 1 species